rnacentral:rRNA from 1 species
GACGAACGCUGUUGGCGUGCUUAACACACGCAAGUCGAACGGAAAGGCCCUGCUUUUGUGGGGUGCUCGAGUGGCGAACGGGUGAGUAACACGUGAGUAACCUGCCCUUGACUUUGGGAUAACUUCAGGAAACUGGGGCUAAUACCGGAUAGGAGCUCCUGCUGCAUGGUGGGGGUUGGAAAGUUUCGGCGGUUGGGGAUGGACUCGCGGCUUAUCAGCUUGUUGGUGGGGUAGUGGCUUACCAAGGCUUUGACGGGUAGCCGGCCUGAGAGGGUGACCGGCCACAUUGGGACUGAGAUACGGCCCAGACUCCUACGGGAGGCAGCAGUGGGGAAUAUUGCACAAUGGGCGGAAGCUUGAUGCAGCAACGCCGCGUGCGGGAUGACGGCCUUCGGGUUGUAAACCGCUUUCGCCUGUGACGAAGCGUGAGUGACGGUAAUGGGUAAAGAAGCACCGGCUAACUACGUGCCAGCAGCCGCGGUGAUACGUAGGGUGCGAGCGUUGUCCGGAUUUAUUGGGCGUAAAGGGCUCGUAGGUGGUUGAUCGCGUCGGAAGUGUAAUCUUGGGGCUUAACCCUGAGCGUGCUUUCGAUACGGGUUGACUUGAGGAAGGUAGGGGAGAAUGGAAUUCCUGGUGGAGCGGUGGAAUGCGCAGAUAUCAGGAGGAACACCAGUGGCGAAGGCGGUUCUCUGGGCCUUUCCUGACGCUGAGGAGCGAAAGCGUGGGGAGCGAACAGGCUUAGAUACCCUGGUAGUCCACGCUGUAAACGGUGGGUACUAGGUGUGGGGUCCAUUCCACGGGUUCCGUGCCGUAGCUAACGCUUUAAGUACCCCGCCUGGGGAGUACGGCCGCAAGGCUAAAACUCAAAGGAAUUGACGGGGCCCCGCACAAGCGGCGGAGCAUGCGGAUUAAUUCGAUGCAACGCGUAGAACCUUACCUGGGUUUGACAUGGAUCGGGAGUGCUCAGAGAUGGGUGUGCCUCUUUUGGGGUCGGUUCACAGGUGGUGCAUGGCUGUCGUCAGCUCGUGUCGUGAGAUGUUGGGUUAAGUCCCGCAACGAGCGCAACCCUUGUUCACUGUUGCCAGCACGUUAUGGUGGGGACUCAGUGGAGACCGCCGGGGUCAACUCGGAGGAAGGUGGGGAUGACGUCAAGUCAUCAUGCCCCUUAUGUCCAGGGCUUCACGCAUGCUACAAUGGCUGGUACAGAGAGUGGCGAGCCUGUGAGGGUGAGCGAAUCUCGGAAAGCCGGUCUCAGUUCGGAUUGGGGUCUGCAACUCGACCUCAUGAAGUCGGAGUCGCUAGUAAUCGCAGAUCAGCAACGCUGCGGUGAAUACGUUCCCGGG